AUGGAUGAAGAUAUGCACUGGGCUCCGAGCAGUGAACAUCGCUGCGGUCUGAUGAGAUGCAUUUGCCUAGAAAGCAUUGUCUGACAG
rfam:Triticum aestivum genome assembly, contig: Triticum_aestivum_CS42_TGACv1_scaffold_425110_5BS